rnacentral:rRNA from 1 species
CCUACGGGGGGCAGCAGUGGGGAAUAUUGGGCAAUGGGCGCAAGCCUGACCCAGCAACGCCGCGUGAAGGAAGAAGGCUUUCGGGUUGUAAACUUCUUUUAAGGGGGACGAACAAAUGACGGUACCCCUUGAAUAAGCAACGGCUAACUACGUGCCAGCAGCCGCGGUAAUACGUAGGUGGCAAGCGUUAUCCGGAUUUAUUGGGUGGAAAGGGCGUGUAGGCGGGAGCGCAAGUCAGAUGUGAAAACUCAGGGCUCAACCCUGAGCCUGCUGUUGAAACUGUGUUUCUUGAGUGCUGGAGAGGCAAGCGGAAUUCCGUGUGUAGCGGUGAAAUGCGUAGAUAUACGGAGGAACACCAGUGGCGAAGGCGGAUUGCUGGACAGUAACUGACGCUGAGGCGCGAAAGCGUGGGGAGCAAACAGGAUUAGAUACCCUUGUAGUC